rnacentral:lncRNA from 1 species
UUUUGGGGGAGAAAUCAGUUUUAUUCUGUGAGAUCGAUCUGCAAGGAGACAGGGGGCAUGUGCCUUCAGUCCUGUCUCCCUGAUUCAGGAUUUGGGGCAAAAUGGAAGAGGUUAGAGAGGACAGGCUGGCAUGAAGAAACGCUGGCAAUAUGGGUUUUGAUUGGUGGGCUUCAGACAUUUAUGGUAAGAUUUUAAACAUUGAUGACAGGGUUCUAAACAUUUAUUACGAGGUCCUCAACUUUUAUGAUGGAGUUCUAAGCUUUUUGAUGAGAUUGGGAAGGAAAUUUAACACCGGCUCUUCCUGACCCUUCAAUUCUGAUAGGAGUCCAACUUUCAAGUUCCCAUCGGGUCCCACUCCUUGAGUUCUGUGGAAAGGAGGAUCUUCGGUUCCUCAGUCAUUUCAGAUUAGGAUUUCCUCUUUUGCACACGCUCCAGCUACGUGACUUUUCGAAUUUCCUGAAAGACAAUCCUUAAUCACUUUCUUGAUAAGAGAUGAUGUCGGUUCAAACUGGCUCUAAAUGGGCCCAUGGCUACGCCUCCACCUAGUUCCAGAAAAUAGCAAGUAGGAGCUGGUAUCAAUGAUAUGGAUCUGCCCUGGGUAUUCUGUGAGCACAGAGGAAGAGAGGUUCCAAUCUCUGUAUUCCACUCCUCGCUCUGCCACCAGUCAUCUCCACUUAGAAGGUGAAGGGGAGGGGCCGACCUGGUGGCCUAGUGGCUACACUUGUGCACUCUACUUUGGUGGCCUGGGGUUCACAGGUUAGGAUCCUGGGCACAGACGUAUACACCGCUCAUCAAGCCAUGCUGUGGUGUUGUCCCACAUACAAAAUAGAGGAAGAUUGGCACAGAUGUUAGCUCAGGGACAAUCUUCCUCGAGCAAAAAACAAAGAAAAAGAGGAAGAUUGGCAACAGAUGUUAGCUCAGGGCCAAUCUUCUUCAACAAAAAAAAGACAGAAAGAAAGUGAAGGGGAACAGAACAUGCCACCCCAAAGUGUGCCACUUUGGCACGUGGAUUACUUUGAGCUGAAGGCAAUCAAGAUCCAGCAGAUUCAGAAAAAGCUUUUUACCUCUCCCUUAACUGCCUAAAAGAAUGUAGAUAAGGUGCCUGGCCCAGAAAGAGAGCGAUUAUCAGAGACAACUUUUUUAUCUGAAAGGCUUACCUGCAUGGCAGGGCCAGCAUCUGAUGACCAAACCCCUGCUCUUCUACCUUCCUAUGAAUUGCCCUCCUCCCCUUGGAAGCUCCAGGCCCCUAUCCCAUUCCUUAGCUCAGGACGGCAUAUAAGCCUCAAUUGCCUGACUGCCUGUGAGUCUCCUGUCUCGGUGGGCUCCCGUAAGUACAUAAUUAAAAUUGUUUUUCUCUUGUUAAUCUGUUUUAUGUCAAUUUAAUUAUCAGACCUGCCAAAGAACCUAGAAGGGAAAAUUUUUCCGCCCCUACAAAAUUUGGCACUCCCUUACGUGGAAAACAAGGGCAGCAGGUGGGCGGAAACAGGAAACAUGGGUCAUCAACGAAAACUGAGCUCCUGAGCGCUCCACACCUGUGAGCUCCC